rnacentral:rRNA from 1 species
GACGAACGCUGGCGGCGCGCCUAACACAUGCAAGUCGAACGAGCGAGAGAGAGCUUGCUUUCUCAAGCGAGUGGCGAACGGGUGAGUAACGCGUGAGGAACCUGCCUCAAAGAGGGGGACAACAGUUGGAAACGACUGCUAAUACCGCAUAAGCCCACAGGUCGGCAUCGACCAGAGGGAAAAGGAGCAAUCCGCUUUGAGAUGGCCUCGCGUCCGAUUAGCUAGUUGGUGAGGUAACGGCCCACCAAGGCAACGAUCGGUAGCCGGACUGAGAGGUUGAACGGCCACAUUGGGACUGAGACACGGCCCAGACUCCUACGGGAGGCAGCAGUGGGGAAUAUUGCACAAUGGGGGAAACCCUGAUGCAGCGACGCCGCGUGGAGGAAGAAGGUCUUCGGAUUGUAAACUCCUGUUGUUGAGGAAGAUAAUGACGGUACUCAACAAGGAAGUGACGGCUAACUACGU